rnacentral:lncRNA from 1 species
ACUUCCGCCCUCGCCUGGGAGCGCCUCUCGCCCCGUCGCGUUUAUCGAGGAGACAGGUUCUAAAAGAGAAAAGCCCUCGCAUUUAAUUUCUCAUACCUGGACCUGCUCUCCCAGCCACUGAAAUACAGUAUAUCCAAGAUCAGUUCUGAUGACCAAGAUCCCAAAGACAAAUUGAAGACCUAGGCCCGAAAACACUGUCCUCCAGGACACCUAGGAUCAAUAAGAAUAUUAUUUCAAUGGUGAAAACUGAGGUUUAGAGAGGGUAAAUAACUUGCCCAAAAUCUGGAAAAGUUUGCCAACCCCUGGUCUUACUCCUCAUUAAGGUGAGCAAAAAUAUUAACCAACAUUCAUUGCAAAACUACAUGUGGACAGCCGGUUCUUUCUUCUUUUUUUUUUUUCAAGACGGUCUCACUCUGUCCCCUAGGCUGGAGUACAGUGGCACGAUCAUGGCUCACUGCAGCCUUAACCUCCUGGGCUCAAGUGAUCCUCCCACCUCGGCCUCCUGGAAUAGCUGGGACUACAGGCACGC